GUAGUGGGUGGACCGCGGGUGAUGAGGGCCCAGCUACUCCACCUGAUGGAGGUGAGCGAGCAGCCGGAUGUGAGUGUUCGAGUCGUUCCACACUGCGC
rnacentral:tRNA from 1 species